UGAGGAAUAUUGGUCAAUGGGCGAGAGCCUGAACCAGCCAAGUCGCGUGAAGGAAGACUGCCCGCAAGGGUUGUAAACUUCUUUUGUAUGGGAUUUAAGUCGUCUACGUGUAGACGUUUGCAGUUACCGUACGAAUAAGCAUCGGCUAACUCCGUGCCAGCAGCCGCGGUAAUACGGAGGAUGCGAGCGUUAUCCGGAAUUAUUGGGUUUAAAGGGUGCGUAGGUUGCAAGGGAAGUCAGGGGUGAAAAGCUAUAGCUCAACUAUGGUCUUGCCUUUGAAACUCUCUAGCUAGAGUGUACUGGAGGUACGUGGAACGUGUGGUGUAGCGGUGAAAUGCAUAGAUAUCACACAGAACUCCGAUUGCGCAGGCAGCGUACUACAUUACAACUGACACUGAAGCACGAAAGCGUGGGUAUCAAACAGG
rnacentral:rRNA from 1 species